rnacentral:rRNA from 1 species
AGUGAACGCUGGCGGUAGGCCUAACACAUGCAAGUCGAACGGCAGCACAGUAAGAGCUUGCUCUUACGGGUGGCGAGUGGCGGACGGGUGAGGAAUACAUCGGAAUCUACUUUUUCGUGGGGGAUAACGUAGGGAAACUUACGCUAAUACCGCAUACGACCUACGGGUGAAAGCAGGGGAUCUUCGGACCUUGCGCGAUUGAAUGAGCCGAUGUCGGAUUAGCUAGUUGGCGGGGUAAAGGCCCACCAAGGCGACGAUCCGUAGCUGGUCUGAGAGGAUGGUCGGCAACAGUGGAGAUUAUGGACGGACGAGACUCCUGCGGGAGGAGGCAGGGGGGAAGAUUGGAGAAGGGGGGCAGGACUGAACGGGCCAUACUGGGUGGGUAAAGAAGGCCUUCGGGUUGUACAGCCCUUUUGUUGGGAAAGAAAAGCAGCAGGUGAAUCCCCGGCUGUUCUGACGGUACCCAAAGAAUAAGCACCGGAUAAAUUCGUG